rnacentral:lncRNA from 1 species
CUUGUGACCAUCGUCUCCAGCAACACCAUCGUCACCGUCACUGCCAGACCACUAUCUCAAACAAAUAAACAAGCAAAAAAAAAUUGCUACGUCAUCGUGCCAAAUCCGCCACCACCCCGACAGACCCAUCGCUGCCACAACCACCAUCAGUUAAAUAUCAAACACCCAAAAUCAAAGAAUGGAUGAAGAUGGUGGCUAGGACAGGAUGUCGGAAGAACCCACCACCAACCAAACACCAAAAAUAAGAUCCAAAAUCAGAGAAUUAGAUGAAGACGGCAGUUAGAACUUGAUGCCUUAAGAACUAACCAUCACACUGUCAUCAAACACCACUACCGCAGAGCCACCCUCCACCUUACAACAAUAGGUCAACAGCACUGCACACUACCAGAGCCACCACCAUGCCGCCAAUGCCACCGCACCUGUGCACAACAUCACACCUAAGCACCGCAACUUACACAACACCACAACUACAUACCACCAUCGCUCCCACAACCCAUGGCACCACACCUGCACAAUACCACCACACCACACAGCCCACAACACUACAAAACCACAACACACACAGCAUCACAUCGCAUCGUCACACAACACUGCACCUCACCAGCCAUUGAACGAAUCAAAAUUAGGGAAAAUUAUUAGUACAUUCCAUCGCAACACAUAGCAUCCUUGCCGCCGCAUCAUCAUCAUAGUUGUUGGUGCUUUCCACCGAUGGUGGCUCCCGGCAAUGGCAUCU